UAGAUCGGUGCACUAGCUGUGCUGAUGAGCCCCAAAAAGGGCGAAACAGCUGCAUGUCCACAGUUGCCGUUGUUUGAGCU